rnacentral:rRNA from 1 species
AGAGUUUGAUCAUGGCUCAGAUUGAACGCUGGCGGCAGGCCUAACACAUGCAAGUCGAACGGUAACAGGAAGCAGCUUGCUGCUUUGCUGACGAGUGGCGGACGGGUGAGUAAUGUCUGGGAAACUGCCUGAUGGAGGGGGAUAACUACUGGAAACGGUGGCUAAUACCGCAUAACGUCGCAAGACCAAAGAGGGGGACCUUCGGGCCUCUUGCCAUCAGAUGUGCCCAGAUGGGAUUAGCUAGUUGGUGAGGUAACGGCUCACCAAGGCGACGAUCCCUAGCUGGUCUGAGAGGAUGACCAGCCACACUGGAACUGAGACACGGUCCAGACUCCUACGGGAGGCAGCAGUGGGGAAUAUUGCACAAUGGGCGCAAGCCUGAUGCAGCCAUGCCGCGUGUAUGAAGAAGGCCUUCGGGUUGUAAAGUACUUUCAGCGGGGAGGAAGGUGUUGUGGUUAAUAACCGCAGCAAUUGACGUUACCCGCAGAAGAAGCACCGGCUAACUCCGUGCCAGCAGCCGCGGUAAUACGGAGGGUGCAAGCGUUAAUCGGAAUUACUGGGCGUAAAGCGCACGCAGGCGGUCUGUCAAGUCGGAUGUGAAAUCCCCGGGCUCAACCUGGGAACUGCAUUCGAAACUGGCAGGCUUGAGUCUUGUAGAGGGGGGUAGAAUUCCAGGUGUAGCGGUGAAAUGCGUAGAGAUCUGGAGGAAUACCGGUGGCGAAGGCGGCCCCCUGGACAAAGACUGACGCUCAGGUGCGAAAGCGUGGGGAGCAAACAGGAUUAGAUACCCUGGUAGUCCACGCCGUAAACGAUGUCUACUUGGAGGUUGUGCCCUUGAGGCGUGGCUUCCGGAGCUAACGCGUUAAGUAGACCGCCUGGGGAGUACGGCCGCAAGGUUAAAACUCAAAUGAAUUGACGGGGGCCCGCACAAGCGGUGGAGCAUGUGGUUUAAUUCGAUGCAACGCGAAGAACCUUACCUGGUCUUGACAUCCACAGAAGUUUCCAGAGAUGGACUGGUGCCUUCGGGAACUGUGAGACAGGUGCUGCAUGGCUGUCGUCAGCUCGUGUUGUGAAAUGUUGGGUUAAGUCCCGCAACGAGCGCAACCCUUAUCCUUUGUUGCCAGCGGUCCGGCCGGGAACUCAAAGGAGACUGCCAGUGAUAAACUGGAGGAAGGUGGGGAUGACGUCAAGUCAUCAUGGCCCUUACGACCAGGGCUACACACGUGCUACAAUGGCGCAUACAAAGAGAAGCGACCUCGCGAGAGCAAGCGGACCUCAUAAAGUGCGUCGUAGUCCGGAUUGGAGUCUGCAACUCGACUCCAUGAAGUCGGAAUCGCUAGUAAUCGUGGAUCAGAAUGCCACGGUGAAUACGUUCCCGGGCCUUGUACACACCGCCCGUCACACCAUGGGAGUGGGUUGCAAAAGAAGUAGGUAGCUUAACCUUCGGGAGGGCGCUUACCACUUUGUGAUUCAUGACUGGGGUGAAGUCGUAACAAGGUAACCGUAGGGGAACCUGCGGUUG